rnacentral:rRNA from 1 species
GUAGUCUCGCACAGAUGCAUAUCAAUAAGCGGAGGAAAAGAAACUAACAAGGAUUCCCCUAGUAACGGCGAGUGAAGCGGGAAGAGCUCAAAUUUGAAAUCUUAAAGGGUUUCCCUUUACGAAUUGUAGUUUAAAGAAGUGUUUUCUGUUGAGGUUUUGGUAAAAGUUCUUUGGAAUAGGACAUCAUAGAGGGUGAGAAUCCCGUAUUUGACCUUUACUUUCAACUUUGUGAUACACUUUCAAAGAGUCGGAUUGUUUGGGAAUGCAGUCCAAAAUGGGUGGUAAAUUUCAUCUAAAGCUAAAUAUUGGCGAGAGACCGAUAGCGAACAAGUACCGUGAGGGAAAGAUGAAAAGAACUUUGAAAAGAGAGUUAAACAGUACGUGAAAUUGUCAAAGGGAAGCGUUUGACACCAGUGUUGUUUUUCUGAAAAUCAAUUAAAGAACUGUUUAUGCUAAGUUGUUUAGACUUUAUCAGCUAACUGUUUAGUUUUGAGCUUUUCUUUAAUGCACUUUUCAGUUAACAAGUCAACAUCAAUUUCUUUUGCUGUAAAAAAGCUUGAGGAAGGUGGCUUGAGAUUCGUCCUUAAGUGUUUAUAGCCUCUUGCCUAUGCAGUCGGAGAGAUUGAGGUCUGCAGCGUAGAUCCUUCGGGGCUAAAUGCAUUUGUGCUAAGUUAUAGCAUUUUAUAGACAGCUUGUUGACUAUGAUUUGUCUUGUAGCUUACUCGCUUAUGUUAUUUUACCUACGCUUAGGAUGUUGAUCUGUAGUGCGUGCGC